AGCAUGUGGUUUAAUUCGAUGAUACGCGAGGAACCGUUACCUGGGCUCAAAUGUAUGUUGACGUAUUCUGAAAGGGAUACUUCUUCGGACAAUAUACAAGGUGCUGCAUGGUUGUCGUCAGCUCGUGCCGUGAGGUGUCGGGUUAAGUCCCAUAACGAGUGCAACCCCUAUCAUUAGUUGCCAUCAGGUCAAGCUGGGGACUCUAAUGAAACUGCCUACGCAAGUAGUGAGGAAGGUGGGGAUGACGUCAAAUCAGCACGGCCCUUACGUCCAGGGCUACACACGUGCUACAAUGGCCGGUACAAAGGGCAGCUACCUGGUGACAGGAUGCUAAUCUCAAAAGCCGGUCUCAGUUCGGAUCGGAGUCUGCAACCCGACUCCGCGAAGCUGGAAUCGCUAGUAAUCGCGCAUCAGCCAUGGCGCGGUGAAUACGUUCCCGGGCCUU
rnacentral:rRNA from 1 species